UUAUACACAAGGCAAACCUAUCGAAAAAUAGGGACGCAAAUCCAUGGGUCUAAAUACCCAGUGAUAUGAUCGCCAGGUUGCUGAG
rnacentral:ncRNA from 1 species